rnacentral:rRNA from 1 species
CUUGCACUGAAUGAGAUUUUAACACGAAGUGAGUGGCGGACGGGUGAGUAACACGUGGGUAACCUGCCCAGAAGCAGGGGAUAACACCUGGAAACAGAUGCUAAUACCGUAUAACAGAGAAAACCGCCUGGUUUUCUUUUAAAAGAUGGCUCUGCUAUCACUUCUGGAUGGACCCGCGGCGCAUUAGCUAGUUGGUGAGGUAACGGCUCACCAAGGCGAUGAUGCGUAGCCGACCUGAGAGGGUAAUCGGCCACAUUGGGACUGAGACACGGCCCAGACUCCUACGGGAGGCAGCAGUAGGGAAUCUUCCACAAUGGACGCAAGUCUGAUGGAGCAACGCCGCGUGAGUGAAGAAGGGUUUCGGCUCGUAAAGCUCUGUUGUUAAAGAAGAACGUGGGUGAGAGUAACUAUUCACCCAGUGACGGUAUUUAACCAGAAAGCCACGGCUAACUACGUGCCAGCAGCCGCGGUAAUACGUAGGUGGCAAGCGUUAUCCGGAUUUAUUGGGCGUAAAGCGAGCGCAGGCGGUCUUUUAAGUCUA